AGAGUUUGAUCAUGGCUCAGAUUGAACGCUGGCGGCAGGCCUAACACAUGCAAGUCGAGCGGUAGCACAGAGAGCUUGCUCUCGGGUGACGAGCGGCGGACGGGUGAGUAAUGUCUGGGAAACUGCCUGAUGGAGGGGGAUAACUACUGGAAACGGUAGCUAAUACCGCAUAACGUCGCAAGACCAAAGUGGGGGACCUUCGGGCCUCAUGCCAUCAGAUGUGCCCAGAUGGGAUUAGCUGGUAGGUGGGGUAACGGCUCACCUAGGCGACGAUCCCUAGCUGGUCUGAGAGGAUGACCAGCCACACUGGAACUGAGACACGGUCCAGACUCCUACGGGAGGCAGCAGUGGGGAAUAUUGCACAAUGGGCGCAAGCCUGAUGCAGCCAUGCCGCGUGUGUGAAGAAGGCCUUCGGGUUGUAAAGCACUUUCAGCGGGGAGGAAGGCGAUAAGGUUAAUAACCUUGUCGAUUGACGUUACCCGCAGAAGAAGCACCGGCUAACUCCGUGCCAGCAGCCGCGGUAAUACGGAGGGUGCAAGCGUUAAUCGGAAUUACUGGGCGUAAAGCGCACGCAGGCGGUCUGUCAAGUCGGAUGUGAAAUCCCCGGGCUCAACCUGGGAACUGCAUUCGAAACUGGCAGGCUAGAGUCUUGUAGAGGGGGGUAGAAUUCCAGGUGUAGCGGUGAAAUGCGUAGAGAUCUGGAGGAAUACCGGUGGCGAAGGCGGCCCCCUGGACAAAGACUGACGCUCAGGUGCGAAAGCGUGGGGAGCAAACAGGAUUAGAUACCCUGGUAGUCCACGCUGUAAACGAUGUCGAUUUGGAGGUUGUGCCCUUGAGGCGUGGCUUCCGGAGCUAACGCGUUAAAUCGACCGCCUGGGGAGUACGGCCGCAAGGUUAAAACUCAAAUGAAUUGACGGGGGCCCGCACAAGCGGUGGAGCAUGUGGUUUAAUUCGAUGCAACGCGAAGAACCUUACCUGGUCUUGACAUCCACAGAACUUUCCAGAGAUGGAUUGGUGCCUUCGGGAACUGUGAGACAGGUGCUGCAUGGCUGUCGUCAGCUCGUGUUGUGAAAUGUUGGGUUAAGUCCCGCAACGAGCGCAACCCUUAUCCUUUGUUGCCAGCGGUUCGGCCGGGAACUCAAAGGAGACUGCCAGUGAUAAACUGGAGGAAGGUGGGGAUGACGUCAAGUCAUCAUGGCCCUUACGACCAGGGCUACACACGUGCUACAAUGGCAUAUACAAAGAGAAGCGACCUCGCGAGAGCAAGCGGACCUCAUAAAGUAUGUCGUAGUCCGGAUUGGAGUCUGCAACUCGACUCCAUGAAGUCGGAAUCGCUAGUAAUCGUAGAUCAGAAUGCUACGGUGAAUACGUUCCCGGGCCUUGUACACACCGCCCGUCACACCAUGGGAGUGGGUUGCAAAAGAAGUAGGUAGCUUAACCUUCGGGAGGGCGCUUACCACUUUGUGAUUCAUGACUGGGGUGAAGUCGUAACAAGGUAACCGUAGGGGAACCUGCGGUUGGAUCACCU
rnacentral:rRNA from 1 species